CCGAACUUAUAUAAUUGAACAUAUGAUAUGAUUAUGAAGUCCCCAACUCAAUGUUAGAAAGUCUCAAACGGAACUGUCUUCUUGUGCUCGAGUUAUUGAUCUCGAGACCUCUGCUGCGAAGCUUAAAGCUUAUCUUCUUAAGCGUUCGGCUUUGGCUGAUAUUCGUCUUCGGAAUUGAGUGAUGAUGGCUUGGAUGAAACAGGCAGCCGCAGCUGGUAAUUGGUGUCAGCUUUCAUCUUGAGAACUCACCUUUUUACAAGAGUUCUCCCUUCUAUUGGAGUGUGGGGCUGAUUCUGAAUUAGUCAUAGUGUGGAGUGUGGGAACGAGCUGAUAACGUAUUGGUCAGCGACGUUUUAUUGCAUUCCAGCGUUUUGGGUUGCAUGGGACUUCCUGUUGAUUUCGAUAUCGACGAAUCAUGCGUUGUUUAUU
rnacentral:lncRNA from 1 species